GCCCCUGUGGUGAAAUCGGUAAACACAAGGGACUUAAAAUCCCUCGUCCUGACAAGGACUUAGCGGUUCAAGUCCGCUCAGGGGCACCA
rnacentral:tRNA from 1 species